AUUGAACGCUGGCGGCAGGCCUAACACAUGCAAGUCGAGCGGAUGAAGGGAGCUUGCUCCUGGAUUCAGCGGCGGACGGGUGAGUAAUGCCUAGGAAUCUGCCUGGUAGUGGGGGAUAACGUCCGGAAACGGGCGCUAAUAUCGCAUACGUCCUGAGGGAGAAAGUGGGGGAUCUUCGGACCUCACGCUAUCAGAUGAGCCUAGGUCGGAUUAGCUAGUUGGUGGGGUAAAGGCCUACCAAGGCGACGAUCCGUAACUGGUCUGAGAGGAUGAUCAGUCACACUGGAACUGAGACACGGUCCAGACUCCUACGGGAGGCAGCAGUGGGGAAUAUUGGACAAUGGGCGAAAGCCUGAUCCAGCCAUGCCGCGUGUGUGAAGAAGGUCUUCGGAUUGUAAAGCACUUUAAGUUGGGAGGAAGGGCAGUAAGUUAAUACCUUGCUGUUUUGACGUUACCAACAGAAUAAGCACCGGCUAACUUCGU
rnacentral:rRNA from 1 species